rnacentral:rRNA from 1 species
AUACGUAGGGUGCGAGCGUUAAUCGGAAUUACUGGGCGUAAAGUGUGCGCAGGCGGCCGCGCAAGUCGAGUGUGAAAGCCCCGGGCUUAACUUGGGAGUUGCGCUCGAAACUACGUGGCUGGAGUGUGGCAGAGGAAGGUGGAAUUCCAGGUGUAGCGGUGAAAUGCGUAGAGAUCUGGAGGAACACCGAUGGCGAAGGCAGCCUUCUGGGCCAACACUGACGCUCAUGCACGAAAGCGUGGGGAGCAAACAGG